CCAUUCUGGCAUUCCCUAGUACGGCGAGUGAAGAGGGAAGAGCCCAAGAUUGAAAGCUGGCGUCUUCGGCGUCCGCAUUGUAAUCUCAAGAAGUGUUUUCCGCUUCGGACCAUGCCUAAGUCCCUUGGAAAAGGGCAUCAUAGAGGGUGAUAAUCCCGUACAUGGCAUGGAGCGCCCGAAGCUUUGUGAUACGCUUUCUAAGAGUCGAGUUGUUUGGGAAUGCAGCUCAAAAUGGGUGGUAAAUGCCAUCUAAGGCUAAAUAGUGGGGAGAGACCGAUAGCGAACAAGUACAGUGAUGGAAAGAUGAAAAGAACUUUGAAAAGAGAGUUAAAAAGUACGUGAAAUUGCCAAAAGGGAAGGGUAGGAGGUCAGAGAUGCGUCUUGGGAUUCAGCCUUGCUUUUUGCAUGGUGUUUUUCCCAAGUUGCAGGCCAACGUCGGUUUUGGGCACUGGAGAAGGGUGGAAGGAACGUGGCACCUCUCGGGGUGUGUUAUAGCCUUCUACUGGAUACAGCGACCGAGACCGAGGACAGCAGCGUACUCGCAAGAGCGGGCCUUCGGGCACCUUUACGCUUAGGGCGUUGGCAUAAUGGCCCUCUACCACCCGUCUUGAACCACGGGACC
rnacentral:rRNA from 1 species